UAACCCUUAUUAAGCCGAGGGUUACCUAGCCAACUGACGUUGUUAGUGAACGAAUUUGUUCACAAUUAUAUAUCCGCCAAUCACGCCUAUUGUGAUUGGCGUUUUUUCU
rnacentral:sRNA from 1 species